CCUACGGGAGGCUGCAGUGAGGAAUAUUGGUCAAUGGGCGCGAGCCUGAACCAGCCAAGUAGCGUGAAGGAUGACUGCCCUACGGGUUGUAAACUUCUUUUAUAAAGGAAUAAAGUGAGGCACGUGUGCCUUUUUGUAUGUAUUUUAUGAAUAAGGAUCGGCUAACUCCGUGCCAGCAGCCGCGGUAAUACGGAGGAUCCGAGCGUUAUCCGGAUUUAUUGGGUGUAAAGGGAGCGUAGGUGGGUUGUUAAGUCAGUUGUUAAAGUUUGCGGCUAAACCGUAAAAUGGCAAUUGAUACUGGCAGACUGGAGUGAGUGAGAGGUGGGGGGAAUUCGAGGUGAAGGGGUGAA
rnacentral:rRNA from 1 species